GAGAGGCCUGCUCGUAGAAGGAAGUCAGAGAGUUGCGCGUCUCCGGCGAAGCGUAGACCGUGCUCGAACAGUGACACGACGGUGUCCUACACAAGCGCUGCAACGAUUGCUGAGCAAGGCGCGGCCUCCUCGACGGAAGCAGGCGUGGAGCCGGACGCCGAUGCAGAAUUUUCAUGCCCACUGGGUCAGCAGGAACCCAUGCUGUUAUUUGACAGUCUUCAGGUACCGUCGGAGCAGUGGACCAAGCACAGGUUUCCUGGACACGACGGUGUCGUGUACUGCACGUCUGUGUUGACAUCAAGAAAUGAGGUGUGCUCAGAAAAAGUGGUAAUGUUCUUUCAGUCACAGACGCACAGUUACUACAAAGUGUUUGUGAGAGGAAUUCUGCUAAAAGAAAGCACAUUGCAAACAAGCGGGGAAGCAGAAGAUGUGCUGAGAGCAACUGAUUCCAUGAGUGUUUGCACUGGAGUAAUGCGACUUGAAGAUUAUGAAGAAAGGUAUUUUACGAAGAACCUUAAAUCCCACGUAGUGACCCUCGAGCAAAUGUACUUCAGCAGCAAUUGCCUGGGUCAGGUCGCUGAAAGAGGUACGCAGUGUGUGUCUUGCCGCUACUUGAAACGAGCACUGCAGAUCAGACGAGCGAGGGUCAAAAGAACUGAUAAAAAGAGCGGCCGAUCUGUUGUGCUUAAACUGCGAGCUGCAGCGAGAAGAAACAAGAGGCUAGUUGUUCGCCUAGGAGAUGUGAAAAAUGAACUUGCUAAAAUGAGAGGGAAAAAUGCUGCCAUUCAAGCAGAAGCAUUAGAAGCACAGAUCUCAAAACUGCCCCCCAGACAGCAGGAAGCUGUUCGACAGUGCUUCGCAGCUUCAAAAGUGAAACCUAAUGGUCUACGCUACACGAAAAUGUGGGUCCUGGACUGCAUAAUAAUGAAGAUGAAAAGUCCUCGUCUGUAUGAGCAUCUUCGCCGUAAUAGCAUUCUUUCCCUACCGUGCAAAUCAACCCUCAAGCGCUAUGUAUCUGCAUAUCGCACUGUGUUUGGCUUCAGCGACAAAGUUCUGAGGCAGCUAAAAGUGAAGUCAGCUGAGCUUGAUGCCUGGAAAAAACAUGGUGGAUUAGUUAUAGACGAGCUAAAGCUGUCGGAACACUUUGCAGUUAAAACGUCUGGGGUUAUUGAGGGUUUUGUAGACCUAGGCCCUUUCACAGCAGCCAAAGACAAAGGUGUCCCAUGUGACCAUGGCAUGGUUAUACUAUUUGUUCCCUUUCAGGGAAAAUGGAGCCAGGUAAUUGGCUAUUUUGCCACACAUGGCAACAUGAAGGGGGACAUUCUUGCCAAAGUUGUUAUUGAGGCAACCGUAUUGGCCGAAAAGAGUGGCCUUUUUGUUGAUUUCAUUACAUGCGACGGCGCAAGCUGGAAUAGAAGGAUGUGGAGGAUACUUGGGAUACAAGCAUCAGCUGAGUCUACCACCUGCAAAAUUCAGCACCCCAGCGAUGCAUCACGAAACCUCUUUUUUAUAUCCGACUUCCCUCAUCUUAUCAAAUGUCUACGCAACUCAUUGUUGAAAUCUGGAUUCAACACUCCAGCUGGCCAUGUGGAUAUGCAACACGUAAAGGAAGCCUACAAAAUGGAUUCCUGCAAUGUUACCCUCAAGGUUAUGCCAGGGAUAACACGAUGUCAUAUUGAGCCAAACGCAUUUGAAAAGAUGAGAGUCAGUUAUGCGUUCCAGCUUUUCGGCACUAAAGUGCUCCAAGCUUUUCACCUGUAUAAGGACACGUUAGAAGCCACUCUUGGAAGAAUGGAUGCAACUCAGGAAUU